AUGACUGAUUCAUGAGUAGAGUUCAAAAAUAAUACUAAAAUACUAGGUCAUUAAUGAUUCCAAUAAAAUAGGGAAAGUUUGCAGUGAAAGAACUGAGAACAUUGGGACUCAAAAAGGAAACUAACAGAAGCAAAUGACAGCUCUGGGUUUUUGCAACCUAUACAGGAACCUUAACAGAGGCAGUGAGACAAUCAAAAAAAGAACGUCAUGAUCCAAAGACAUCACUGGGCUCAUGAAGGAUGUCAUCACCAGUCUGCAUGGUAACUAAAGAAUGAGAGGUGGAAGACAGAAAGAGAAAACCAUAUGAAAAAAGACACACAUUUCUGAAAAAGUGUCCUGUCUUUGAAGAGUGGCAAAUACUAUUCCGUUUUUGAGUACGGAAAUAGAUCCAACUUGGAAUUAUAAAACAGAAUGCUAAGAAUCAACCUGAGUGAGGAGAGAGAUAAAUGGAAGAACUGUUAGGCAAAAAUGAACCAGAACUUGAAGACUUGGAAAAUUACCAGAUUAUUUAUAUUGCAAAAUAAUACCAAAGAAUUUUGGGAAGAGAACAUCAAGGAUAUGACUGGGCUAGAAAGAUCUGCUAGAAAAAUUACAGGAUAUCAUUCAAUGUGGAGGAGAACAGCUGGAACCUAAUGACACCCUGGAGGUUUCUUGGUUACUGUUUUUAGAAAACAGAAGAAAACCUUCCUCAUUCCAGGUAAUACAUAAAAAUAACACUUUAACACAAAGUGUUCAUCCUGCCUGUAUGCUUCCCCUAAAAUGCCCUGUAAGCAACUCAGAAUUAAACA